AAAAAGUUUUGGUUUUGAAGAGCUUUGGUUUUCCUGAGCUCAUACAUGCUUUCCUGCCAUUGCCUUUCGACAUCCGUCUCCAGGGCUCCAGUUUCCUCAGCCUCCAGCAGACUUGCACCUGCAGCUCUCCAGUGAGCCUCCAGGUCUUCCACCUUGGACUGGUGCUGACUCCUUGACCCUUCUAGUGGUGUGACUUUCAGCUUCUUGGCCCGAGCAGCUACCGGAUCCCUGGCUGUCCAAUGUCCAGAUGGCCCCUUCUGCCUCUGCUUCUGCAGGGGGCACUGUGGACCCCACUUCUAAUCCUGUGAGCUCUCUAUGUCUUCAUGUUUUUAAUACACAUCUGCAAUAACUCUGUGAAAGAAAGGAAGUUCUCCUACAUUCUCUCAGUAUUAGGACUGCGUCUGAGAGACUUCACAUUGACAUUCGUACUGUGCAAGGGCUGAUGAUCAAUUAAAAACAAAAGAAGAAAGAGGGAACACUGUAAGGGAAAAAAGAUACCUAAUUUCAAAACAAAGCUAUCAGAGCUGGCCAGAAGCCAACAAAAAGGAGAAGGAAUAACUACAACAUCAGCGAACACUGUCAAAAAAUGGACUAUCG
rnacentral:lncRNA from 1 species